AUUGAACGCUGGCGGCAUGCCUUACACAUGCAAGUCGAACGGCAGCACGGGUGCUUGCACCUGGUGGCGAGUGGCGAACGGGUGAGUAAUACAUCGGAACAUGUCCUGUAGUGGGGGAUAGCCCGGCGAAAGCCGGAUUAAUACCGCAUACGAUCUACGGAUGAAAGCGGGGGACCUUCGGGCCUCGCGCUAUAGGGUUGGCCGAUGACUGAUUAGCUAGUUGGUGGGGUAAAGGCCUACCAAGGCGACGAUCAGUAGCUGGUCUGAGAGGACGACCAGCCACACUGGGACUGAGACACGGCCCAGACUCCUACGGGAGGCAGCAGUGGGGAAUUUUGGACAAUGGGCGAAAGCCUGAUCCAGCAAUGCCGCGUGUGUGAAGAAGGCCUUCGGGUUGUAAAGCACUUUUGUCCGGAAAGAAAUCCUUGGCCCUAAUACGGUCGGGGGAUGACGGUACCGGAAGAAUAAGCACCGGCUAACUACGUG
rnacentral:rRNA from 1 species